GCGCAGCAGGCGAGAAACCUCCGCAAUGCGGGAAACCGCGACGGGGGACCCGAGUGCCGUGGCAAUGCUACGGCUUUUCCGGAGUGUAAAAGCUCCGGGAAUAAGGGCUGGGCAAGGCCGGUGGCAGCCGCCGCGGUAAUACCGGCGGCCCGAGUGGUGGCCGCUAUUAUUGGGCCUAAAGCGUCCGUAGCCGGGCCCGUAAGUCCCUGGCGAAAUCCCACGGCUCAACCGUGGGGCUUGCUGGGGAUACUGCGGGUCUUGGGACCGGGAGAGGCGAGGGGUACCCCUGGGGUAGGGGUGAAAUCCUAUAAUCCCCAGGGGGACCGCCAGUGGCGAAGGCGCCCCGCUGGAACGGGUCCGACGGUGAGGGACGAAGGCCAGGGGAGCAAACCGGAUUA
rnacentral:rRNA from 1 species